rnacentral:tRNA from 1 species
GCCGAAGUGGCGGAACUGGCAGACGCGGCGGCCUCAAAAGCCGUUGAUCGCAAGAUCAUGUGGGUUCGACUCCCACCUUCGGCACCA